UGCCUCUGGUGACCAUGUAGGUGGAAGCGGCGGUGGAGGAGGAGGAGGUAGCCAACAAUUUUUAUUUUAAUUGGGGUAGCACUUUUUCAAUGUGCUCCCCAACGAGAAGGCGACAACACAUUCGUAUUUCAAUCCAUAUCAACUUUCAAUGCCAUUGACUGCGCCUACCACGGUGACCAUGGGUAACCAGGGUUCCAUUCCAUACAGGGACCCUGACAAACGGCUACCACAUGCAAGGAAGGCAUCAGGCACGCAAAUGACCCACUCACGACGCGGGAAGGUAGUGACGACA